rnacentral:lncRNA from 1 species
UUGUAUUCCAUCUGGCGGCUUUUCCAACUAGAUGACUGGCCUGGCUGGAAACAUUAGAAGGGACCGAGGCAGCAGAGAUGUCUAAAAUAGGAAGACGCCGGGGCAAUUGGCCUGGCUGCCCGCGACGCUGGCUGCGGGGAUCUGGCCGGCCUGCGCAAAUGGAAAAGCUAAGAGGCCCAUCAGCGGGAACCCCCCUACCCCACCCAGCUAGAUGACCAAGGGUGAGCCCUGGCUCCAAGGACACUCUCUGCAGGUCUGUAGGUAACUUUGGAGCUUGGCUUGAAAAGACGAGUUGGACCAAACCACUGUCCCUCUGAGUUCUGGAAAUGGCACACAAAGGGAAGAGGGAGUUAGCAGGUAAGGUGACCAACCCUUCUGGGUUGUCUGAUUUUGGUACCCAAGGUCCUGCCUGCUAGGAAACAGACACAGCAGUGAGAAAAAAUGGUAAAGAAAUGUGAGCAAUGCUAUGAAUAUUGAUAAUAGCUACUGCUUCUUCUUUUUUUUUCUUUGUAAUUGGAGGAAGGAAAGGGUGGGAUGAAUUGAGAAAUCAGCAUCGACAUAUAGAUGCUAGUGAUUCUUGAGUGUAUACAAUAUACCAGGUUCUGUGCUAAGAAUGUUUUUAAAACUUAAAAAAAAUUAUUUUUAACUUGUCAUCUUAACCAUUUUUAAGUGUAUUUUCCAGGGGCAUUAAGUACGUUUACUGGGCUUCCCUGGUGGUUCAGAUGGUAAAGAAUCUUUCUGCAAUACAGGAGACCCAGGUUCAAUCCCUGAGUUGGGAAGAUCCUCUG